GAGUUUGAUCCUGGCUCAGGAUGAACGCUGGCGGCGUGCCUAAUACAUGCAAGUCGAGCGAACAGACGGGGAGCUUGCUCCCCUGACGUUAGCGGCGGACGGGUGAGUAACACGUGGGUAACCUACCUAUAAGACUGGGAAUAACUCCGGGAAACCGGGGCUAAUGCCGGAUAACAUGUUGGACCGCAUGGUCCUACAGUGAAAGACGGUCUUGCUGUCACUUAUAGGUGGACCCGCGCCGUAUUAGCUAGUUGGUAAGGUAACGGCUUACCAAGGCAACGAUACGUAGCCGACCUGAGAGGGUGAUCGGCCACACUGGAACUGAGACACGGCCCAGACUCCUACGGAGGCAGCAGUAGGGAAUCUUCCGCAAUGGGCGAAAGCCUGACGGAGCAACGCCGCGUGAGUGAUGAAGGCCUCGGU
rnacentral:rRNA from 1 species